CUGGAGUGGAACACAGCAAACCAUCACUGUGCAUGAAAACUCUGUUUUUGACUCAGAAAACAACAAAAAUAAUCAGACUAUAUAUGUCUGCUAGUCACUGUGGACUUCUGGUUCCUCACCCUUCAUGAAACUGAUCAAACCAAGAAGAACCAGAUCUCAGUGCAGGUUGUAUCUUUUCAUCAUGAGCUCUGGACCCUCUCAUUAACCUCUUACAAGAGUGCAGGAGACAACAGGCAGCUGGACCGCAUUUGGCCACAUCUUGGGGACGGCCAUGUGUUUGGCAUCGAAGAGAACUCAAAAAUAAAGAAAAUUAAAAAAAACACUU